rnacentral:rRNA from 1 species
GACGAACGCUGGCGGCGCGCUUAACACAUGCAAGUCGAACGGAAAGGCCUGCUUUCCCUUGUGGAUUGCGGGUACUCGAGUGGCGAACGGGUGAGUAACACGUGAGUGAUCUGCCCCCAACUUGGGUAUAAGCCUGGGAAACUGGGUCUAAUUCCCGAUAGGACUGCAGGGUGGUGCCUGUGGUGGAAAACGAUUUUCUAGUGGUUGGGGAUGAGCUCGUGGCCUUUCAGCUUGUUGGUGGGGUAAUGGCCUACCAAGGCGGCGACGGGUAGCCGGCCUGGGAGGGUGGGCGGCCACGGUGGGACUGAGAUACGGCCCAGACUCCUACGGGAGGCAGCAGUGGGGAGUAUUGCACAAUGGGCGGAAGCCUGAUGCAGCGACGCCGCGUGGGGGAUGACGGCCUUCGGGUUGUAAACUCCUUUCGACCGCGAGGAAGCCACCUGGUUGGAAGGGUGGUGACGGUAGUGGUAGAAGAAGCACCGGCUAACUACGUG